UGUAGCCCUACAAACUUCAGAUACUGCCAAGCUUGGGUGCACUGGGCCGGUUAUCCAGCCGUGUGGAAUCAACAUCUCCAGCUGAACUUGGGCCGGGAAUUAUAUAAGAAUCCUUAGCAGCAUGAGUGCCAGCCAGUCAUUGCUGUUCUUUGCAUUGCUGAGGAGGACAGUCCUGCCAACAUAAUAGUUUGUUCAAUAACAGGAGACAAACAGAAACACAGAGGUGCUAUACAUUCCGAUGGAAAAUACAACAAAAGAAGAAUUUUAAGAAAGGUGAUGGUUGGGCACACACAAGAAGACAUAGAUCACAUGUGUCCAGGCAUAUGAGUAGACAGGAGUUUCACACUCUGCCAAACUUACUUCAUCAGAGGAGCAGAAAGCUUCUCAAGAUCCCGCACUGCACACUUAGAUAUAGUCUUUGACUACAACAAGGGGAUGAAAGUACAGAGAGGUCCAAUUGAAAUCAAUUCUGUGCUGCGUCAUUUCUUCAUUCUGGAAGUCGAUGGACAUGAUUUAUCAUGGCAUCAGGUGUGCAGUUUGUCGACUAUCAGCAGUCUUGUUCACCAGUUGUGCAACUUGAGCUGGUAGCUUUAUUGCUUGAAGCCACAGCAUAAGAGGGGGAAGGUGCAGGCUCAUCAAAAAGUCUCAAAAGUUGAAACUAGGAAAAGAAGUUUGUCAAGAGUGUGAAUAUUUGCUUUGAAAACCAUCGUUACGAUGAUUUGGUUUCCUUUGAAACUUGAUACAUACUAUGUGUAUGUUGAAUGAAUUGAGAUGCUUAAAUAAAGAAUCGCUAUUCAAAUAUCAGGAAACUGCAUUUUUCAUACUAAAGGGUAAAUGAUGUCGCCAUUUCCUGUAUGUAUUUAAAUGAGAUAUGUUUCCACAAUUAAUAUUUUUAGGGAAUUUUUCUCAUCCUAAUGAAUGAGAUUAAAUUGUACAGCGUUAUAUGAGCUUAAUAUGUGUUUUCUGUUUCUUUAAAAUUGGUGAAAAAUUGUCAGAAGAUAAUUAGACCAGUAUCCAUUACUACAAUCAAAUAUACAGGGACAAACCCACUGGGCAUAUAAUAUAAUUAAACCCUGUUUAGGGGCACGAGGCAAACAGAGUUACUUUCAAACGUUAAAGCUGCACUCUCACAUUUUGGACGUUUUGACAACUUUUCUCAUUUUAUGUCUUGGAUUGGAACCAUCCAAUUUUUGCGAAAAAUUAAAUGGCAGAUUUUUCUAUUUAAGUUAAAACAUUGAUGUUUUAUGCACUUUUCUUAAACCGUUAGUAACAUUAAUUUUUGAACGGAAAUAUGAAAUCUGUGAUCUGAUCUUUUGUCAGCAAUCUUUUAUCAUUGGUUUGCAGAUAAUUACGCAAAAAAUUGCUCAUUCAAAAACAAAAAUAGUUGUGAAAACGGUAUAUCUGUGGGAGUGCAGCUCUAAAUGUUGAAUUUCUUGAUUUUACUACUGUAUUAGAAAUUACAGGGGUUGGGGCAUUUUUUUAGUGUUUUUAUUGCUUUUUAUUUUCAUACAGUCAUACUUUAUUCCUCAGGGCAUAACUUACAAAUAGACAAAACUGGAAAAUGGUCGUUUCAAAAGGCCAAAGAUAAUGCAAGUUGAACAAUCAUAUUGUUCAUGGCUUGUAUUUUUGGUGUAUUUUGUUGCAUAUGCUAUAGAAAAGUUGAAAGUUAAAAAUAAAUUCAUAGUUGAAAUGAUGGCUUUGAAUGGUAUUGUCAGAUGAGAAACGGCACUUUUAAGAAAUAGGUAUAAUGGUACUUUAUUUAUUUUGAUCAAUUUUAGAUAUUGUA